UCAAAAUUAACUUUUAUACACUGAAUAAUACGUAUAGUAAUAUAAUAGGCAUGGAAAUUUGAUUAAUAUUAAUGAUUUAAAAAAAAAUUAUUAAAGAAUUUCUUUUACAUAUGAGUAGUUGAUUUGAAAUAUUAAUUAGUCGAGUACACAUGAUGUAUCAUUGAAGCACAUGUUUGCAAAAACAUGUUCUUUUAUUUUACAGAACUAUAUUUAGAGAGGAAAUAAAAUACUAUUAAAUGAAUCCUUGUCAAUGUAAAUACAGUGCUAUUGCUUUAAUAAUUACAGAAUUGUUAAUAUAGCAUCUCUCAAUAUCAACCAACUGAGAUCAUCAGCAGAGUGUUUCCAUCCAACUACCAUUCAACAUCUGCUUAUUAGUUUGCAUUACAGUUUCGAAACUUCUACCAAUGGCUGUGAUUGGUCGCGCCAUGUUGGCGUCCUGUCAUUUCGACCAAUCAGACACGUCCUUGUGUGAGCGAGUGCGUCGAUUUGUGACGCAGUAUAUCAUUUCUCUUCGAAACUUCGUCCGUUAUGCACGUGUCUGCAACAGUAUUAAAGUUUCGAAGUAAUACGAAACUUCUACCAAUGGCUGUGAUUGGUCGCGCCAUGUUGGCGUCCUCUCAUUUCGACCAAUCAGACACGUCCUUGUGUGAGCGAGUGCGUCGAUCUGUGACGCAGUGCAUCAUUUCUCUUCGACACUUCGUCCGUUAUGCACGUGUCUGCAACAGUGUUAAAGUUUCGAAGUAAUACGAAACUUCUACCAAUGGCUGUGAUUGGUCGCGCCAUGUUGGCGUCCUCUCAUUUCGACCAAUCAGACACGUCCUUGUGUGAGCGAGUGCGUCGAUCUGUGACGCAGUGCAUCAUUUCUCUUCGACACUUCGUCCGUUAUGCACGUGUCUGUAACAGAAGUUCAUUCCAAUAAAACAUCAAAAGCCUGAUAUAAAACUAUUAAAUGAAUCUUCCUCAAAUUAAAGAAGUACAUUCUAAUAAAAGAUCCAAAGCAUCAUAUAAAGCUAUUAAAUGAAUCUUGCUCAAAUUAAAGAAGUACAUUACAAUAAAACAUCAAAAGCCUCAUAUAAAACUAUUAAAUGAAUCUUCCUCAAAUUAAAGAAGCACAUUCGAAUAAAACAUCAGAAGCUUGAAAUGGAACAAUUAAAUGAAUCUUCGUCCAGUUAAAGUGCCUGUAUGUCAACAUCCUACCUACUACACUAGUCUACAUCAUCAAUCUACUUAGGAGACCAUCCGACGGGUGCUUUCUUCCAGCUACUUUUCAAUAGUCAGUCACCGGUUGGGUGAGCCCCAAGAGUUACAAAUUUUAUUCUUAUUUUAAGUGAGCAUAGUGACCCAUGAGUGGAUGUAUACUCAUGGAAAUAUGUUACAUAUUUUUCAUAUCUUUUUUCAUUUUUAUAUUGUUGUAUUUCUUAGUUCAGGCUAGGGUCUUCUUGUCUCUUUUUAAAAAAUAGUUUGUAGGAUAGAAGUCGGAUGACCCUCCGAUUUCACAAAUAAAAUACAACUUUUAAAAUAUUUUUUUAAUUAAAAGAUACUUAAAUUUUGAUAAUGUAUACAAAAUUUGUAUAUUUCAUAUGCAGUAAAUAUUACGUACAUUUGCUACAAUAGAUUGACUAUACUAUAAUAUUUCAAUGCAGUAUAUUAAAAUAUUGUUGAUUUAAAUAUGUUUUAUGAGCAAGAAGACAUUUCGCGGCGGUUAGAUUCUAACGUCGAAGUAACAUUUUCGAAUGUACAUUUGAUGUAACUUGGACAAUUUACUUCGACAUGCAAUCAACCGAGGAUGUAUUACAUGUAUUAAUUAUUAAAUUGCAUUUCCAACAGAUAUAGAUCCAUUUAACAGAUACUUCAAGUUUUUGCUUAAAGUAGAGUGAUUUUUUUUUACAUAUUUUUUUUUUUAGCUAUGAUUAAAUACAGUUUAAUUAUUUUAAUAAAAUUAUUUUAAUAAUUAUUUAAUUCAAUUGCAAUUUUUUAUUUUAUCGGAGUCUUGUAUUACAAAUAGAAUCAUUUUUUAAUGUUUUAUUCUUCUAAUCAAUUUCAAUCUCAUCAGUUCAAAGAAAACAUAGUUUCAACGUAAGAAUGUUUUACACAAUAAUUUAUUUUCAAAUUUAAAAUGUUUAUUAGCCCGUUAGCUUUACUAUGUACUAAUUUAUCAUUUUAGCUUAGGAUUUUCAGCUUCACACGGUAGGUGUAUUAUUUCUUUGCCCGUAUUCAUUACUUAUUAGCCUGAGCUCAUCAACGAACCCAGGUGUGCGUUGUGUGGGUAAGGGCGGUGGGUACGGUUUUAGAAUUAAGGAAUAUUACAGCGAUUGACAAACGUAUUAGCGUAUUGUGCACGAUGUACGUUUCACAUGUGUGUGUGUGUGUAUUUAAAUUAGUGGAAUGUACGUCGAUUUUAUUAUUCAACUUAAAUAGUUUAUAUAAAUACAUACAGAAUAAAUAUAUUACAUAUCUAAUCAAUAUUUUCCAUAUUACAUACUGUAUGUAUAAUAUCAUACAAUCAUAUUACAUUGAAUGGAUACUUGUUUGAGAAUAUUUCAUGUAUAAAAAUCAUAAUAAUAUUUUACAAUAUAUGAAGAAAAUUUACCAUUUGAAUACCAUAUUCUUUUUUUAAAUCAAUGAAAUACUAAUUAUUACUGUACUUAGUUUUAUAAAGAACAGAAUGACUCAAAGUCAGCAUUAUAGCAUAAAUAAUUUUACAUUCCAAUAAUAGUUUUAUAUGACAUUAAUAUUAUAUUAAUAAUAACGCAAUAUACGCUACGUUGUCAGUCGAUUACAGGAAAUGGUACGUACAUAAAGUAUAAAUGUGUGUGUUACAAGCUUGGGUGACGGAGGCGUCCCGGGACGUUCUCUCUAGGGUAGGCUUGCACCCAGGUGUUAUGUGUGAGUACCGUGGAUUGUGUGUGUUGGAAUGAAUGAUUUUUGCUUUUUUAAAUAUAGGGAUAGGCAGGCAGGUAGCUUACUUCUGGAGUGUGUGAUUUAGAUGUAAGUAGGAAGGGCCAGGAAAGCAGACCGCUCACAUUUCUCUUUCGGGUAGGCUUAUAGGUCCGGUGAAAAGUCUGCACCUGGGGUAGUAUAAUCGGAAUCAAUUACUUUUUAGUUAAUUGAUUUUGAUUAAAUCUUGGUCUAUACCUAGUAUGUAAGGUCGCCCGCGGCUUUAGGCCCGGACGAAAAAGGACUACUUCAAUGAAAUCUGUUCAAAAAUUCCUUUUUUUUUUGUUGCAUGCUUCGGACAGCUAUUCUAUUUAAUAGUUGGUCGUUGUGUGUGACACUCAUUUUCAAUAUAUUUCACAUUUUUAUGGAAUCUUUGAGCUGAUUCAUUGAGUAGUCGAAGAAAGAAGAUCGUCGUUGGACAUCGUGGGACAUCAUCGCACAUCACCAAAGGAUGUCUUUCCUUCUUUUUAUGGAAAGUCAUCCUUCAAUUCUGAUAUAAGUACAUAUUAAUAUCUUUUUUACUACUUUUUACAGUCACUAUGCUCACUAGAUAUCUAUUGUCAAUUUAACAUGUUCAGUAAUAGCACUUAAUUAGAAAUUCGUCCAUCAUAGACUAUUUCUUUUCUUAUAUUAUGAAAUAACAUAAAACAAAGAAAUAUUACUAUAGACUAUGCAUAUUAUUAUAUUAUAUUAUUUUAUGGAUUUUGUGAUAGACUCUGAAUUGCAGGUAUUUUAAAACAUAUGAUACAAAAUAUUUUGAUAGAUAUACGUGAUUCUAGUAGCAAACAUGUUAAAUUGCAAAUUGUAUUACAUUUUCUCUACAAAUGACGUCAUCAAGUAUAACUACGUCAUUGUGAACUGACAUUAUAUGUUGUUUUUCAAUCAAAUUAAAUUAAAUCAUUUAAAUCAAAUUGAUUGCUACAUUAACAAGUAAAGUCACGCGAUUCUUCUUUUUCUUUUAAAUUAAUUUUUAUCGUUAUCCUUUUUAUAAUUUUUUAUUAGCUUCCAAUUUACUUACAUUUUUAAAUUAUUGCAUUCAAGUAAAUUUUAACAAUGACAAAACAAGAUUUACCUACAUAGACGAAUAAUUUUCUACGAUAACCCAACCCCGAUAAUUACUUGUUUAUCAAUAAAAAUAAAAUGAUAUUAUAUAAAAACAAGUAAAACUCAAUUUAUCAUAUUUUAUUGAUAUUGCACUGUACAUUUGUAUUGUUUCAAUUGUGGUGUACUUUUUAUCAUCUCAAAUCACCCCCUGUGGGCGGGGGGAUGUAGAAUACGCCCAUAGUAUCCCUGCUUGUCGUAAAAGGCGACUAAAAGGGAGCGUCUGUGCCACCGUUAAUAAAUUUCAAUUUCAUAUUUUUAAUUUUUAAUCAAGGCAUUCGAGCUGUUUUAUGAAAAUUUCCAGUAGCGGUGCGAACGAAUUGAAAUCGCGGGUAGGAAUGCGAUCGACUACAAUGAUAUUCCACGCUUACCGAGCGUGAUGACGGGGAUUAGGGAGCCAACGCGUCGCCACGAGAAACUGAUAAGGCUCACGCGGUUUAUUUGCGAAA